rnacentral:lncRNA from 1 species
AGAGUGAGAGUCUCAGUGUAGGCCCUGCCCAUGGCUGUCUCUUAUGGGUGUGCCCUACAGCCUGGAAAGUUCUUCUCAGAAUCCAUCACCCGACAUUUUACAGGCAGGAAAUGGAGGCCAGAGAAGGAAAGGGCCAAGGUCUCCGUAGAAACCAGGGGGCAGAGCUGAAGCUGGGUCUCAAAGCCAGUGCAGGUGGCAGAGGAAGGACAUGGAGCUCAAGCCAAAGGCACCAGGGCCGCGUCUCCCACCCUGCAGCUCAUGCCUGAGGCCAACAGGGGCUGGAAAGAAGACCUGGAGAGGCUCCUGCUCCUGCUCAGGAGGCUCUGGUUUGUCUGGUGAUCUAAAGAGGAAUGCACUUUUUCUUCCACACUAUCUCAGCUUAGAGCUUUGCAUUGAAUGGGUGCCUGAUAUACCUUUGUUGAAGGACUUUGGGCCCCAGGUGAACCCUCUCUCUGGAACUCAGUUCUCGUGCUUGGAAAUGGG